ensembl:lncRNA
AGCGGGGGGGGCAGGGCCGGGCCGCGCUGCUCCUGGCUGCCCGGGCCCGCCGACUUCGUCAAGUCGAGAUGCUCGUCGUCUCCCUCCCUCAGAACUUCCCUCGUUCCUCAAACACAGGGAAGGAAGAACUUGGAGAAUGUUCCUGAGAGUUUGUGACAACGUUCAUGAAGACAAAGAAAAGACAGGAAAAAAUGUUUGUAGGUAUUUCUACCAGUCCAGUGCUUUCAAACAUCAGAUGUUCUACUGGCUCAUCAAUCCAGUUGAAGCUACUGGAGCAUGUAAAUGCCACUGCACCUGCUCCUCUGCUCAUUGCUAUAAGGAUGCUCUUCAGCAUAGCCUAAUAAAUAUUUUGGUCUCUCUAUUCUGAUGUUACUAAGGAGAAAAACUACUUCCUGCAGAAUCUUACUCCCCUAUCUACUCAUAUAGAUCCAGGUGAUGUAAAGAUCAUGGAUGUAACAAGUAGUGGUUACCCUUUCUGUGAAGAAAUUUUUUCCUGAAGAUACUCCUGAAGAAGAUAUUUUCCUAUGAAGGGUCAGGUCUGACUUUUUGAAUGCAAAGUUUGAAUUUAGAUGUUGAUAUCAAUCCAUUUUUACUGUUAUGGUCUGCACUACCUGUUUUUUGCCUGUUUCAGUGAUAUAGUUCCUUCUAUCCAUAUAACAAGUUUGGAUCCUUAUUAAACUCUAAUUCAAUACUGUAGAGUAUAGGACAAACUAUUGCAAAUCUGCAUCUGUAAGAGGUCAUUCUUUUACACCAUUGCCUCAAAGCUUGCUGAGGGACACAGAUGAACAAGUUCAAGCAUGUCCUGACCAAGGAUUAGGAAAUCCUUUGUCUGAAGGGGCAACAGAUGGACAAGGCCAGGGGCAAUGAGAGAGAGGUAAGUGGCAGCUAAAUGGCCAGGAAACAGUCUUUUGUGUGGACUUAUCCCAAGGGAGACAGCCAUCUCAGGGGAUGCUCACAUGACCCUUACCCAAGUGCCCAGGAAUGUCAUGUAGGCAGGGAAGAAGAAGGAUAAAAGAGAGUCCAACAACCAUGAAGGCAGGUUUCUGACAACAGAUUCCUCAUGACCUGCCUCUCUCUCCUGGACUUGCUCUGUGCUCUACCUGCUUGCUGCCUAAGGAUGGCCCCUCUGCUACUGCUCUCCCCCCUGAGAAGGUGUCUGCCAUCAGAUGCCUCACUAUGAAAGACCUGCAUGCUGACAGACUCUCCAGGGCCUGCUACCGGAGACCUGCUGUUUCCUCCCGGACUUCUUCCUGGACCUACUCAGUACCUGCACCUUCCUGCUGCCCAAGACCGGCCACGCUGCUGCUGCUCUUCUCCUAUGCUUUUGCCCCGGACCGUAGGAACGUCAUGCAAUGGGAUACUGCCGGAUCCUGGUGAAUCAUAGAAUCAUCAAGGUUGGAAAAGACCCACAGGAUCACCCAGUCCAACCAUCCACCCAUCAUCAAUAGUUCUCAAUAAACCAUGUCCCUCAACACAAUGUCCAAAUGUUCCUUGAACACCCCCAGGGUAGGUGACUCCACCAGCUCCCUUGGCAGCCCAUUCCAGUGCCUCACCACUCUUUCAGAGAAAAAGUAUUUCCUGAUGUCCAGCCUGAACCUCCCUGGUGCAGCUUGAAGCCAUUCCCUCUAGUCCUGUCACUAGUUACACAAGAGAAGAGGCUGGCCCCCAGCUCACUACAACCUCCCUUCAGGUAGUUAUAGAGAGCAAUAAGGUCUCCCCUGAGCCUCCUCUUCUCCAGACUGAACAAUCCCAGCUCCUUCAGCUGUUCCUCAUAAAGCCUGUGCUCCAGAUCCUUCACCAGCUUUGAUGCCCUUCUUUGAACACGCUCCAGGGCCUCGAUGUCUUUCUUACAGUGAGGGGCCCAAAACUGGACACAGUACUCCAGGUGCGGCCUCACCAGGGCUGAGCACAGGGGGAUAAUUACUCCUCUGUUCCUGCUGGCAGCACUGUUUCUGAUGCAAGCCAGGAUACCAUUGGCCUUCUUGGUCACCUGGGCACACUGCUGGCUCAUGUUCAGUUGAGCAUCAAUCAAUACCCCCAGGUCCAUUUCCUCUACAGUCUUCCAGCCACUCUGCCCCAAGCCUGUAGUGUUGCCUGGGGUUAUUGUGGCCAAAAUGCAAGACCUGGAAUUUGGUCUUGCUGAACCUCAUCACAUCAGCUUCAGCCCAGCCAUCCAGCCUGUCCAGAUCCCUCUGUAGGGCCUCACUGCCCCCAGGCAGGUUGACACUUCCAGCCAACUUGUUGUCAUCUGCAAACUUACUGAGGGUGCACUCAGUGCCCUCAUCCAGGUCAUCAAUAAAGAUAUUGGAGAGAAUGGGCCCCAGCACAACCCCUGGGGAACACCACUUGUGACUAGUUGCUAGCUGGAUUUAAUUCCAUUCACCGCCACUCUCUGAGCUCAGCCCUCCAGCCAAUUCCUUACCCAGCCAAGAAUGUAGCUGUCCAAGCCACGGACUGCCAACUUCUGCAGGAGAAUACUGUGGGAAACAGUGUCAAGGCUUUGCUGAAGUCUAGGUAGACUACAUCAACAGCCUUUCCCUCAUCCACCAGACGGGUCACUAGAUCAUAGAAGGAGAUCAGGUUGGUCAGUCAAGCAGGACCUGCCCUUCGUGAACCCAUGCUGGCUUGGCUUGAUCUCCCUCAAGACAGUCUGCUCCAUAAUCUUCCCUGGCACUGAGGUCAGGCUAACAGGCCUGUAGUUCCCCGGAUCCUCCCUGUAGUCCUUCUUGUAGAUGGGAGUCACAUUGGCAAGCCUCCAGUCUUCUGGGACCUCUCCAGUCAACAAGGAGCACUGACAGAUGAUGGAAAGUGGCUCAGCUAUCACCUCCGCCAGUUCCCUCAGCACUCUUCAGUGAAUCUCAUCGGGCCCCGUGGACUUGUGGCAGUCUGUAAGAGACUAUUCUUUUAUAUCAUUGACUCAAAGUUUGCUGAGGAACAAGUCCAGGCAAGUCCUGGGCAAAGGCAGAGAAAUCUUUUGUCUUGAGGACACUGAUGGACAGGUACUGGCUAAGGAUUGUGAAAUCCUCUAAGGAGCACAGAUGGACAAGGCCAGGGGCAUUGAGAGAGAGAUAAGCUGCUGCUAAUGGCCGGGAAACGGUCUUUUUGUGUGGACUUAUCUCAAGGAAAAUGGCCAUCUCAGGAGGUAUGCACAGGACUCUUGCUCAAGCACCCAGGAAUGUCACGUAGGCAGCAGAAAAUGGAGGAUAAAAGAGGGUCCAAUAACCACAACGGUGGAAGCUGAUCCUUCACCACAACCACGGCAACGGUAGAGGCUUCUCUCUCACCACGACAGACUUGAGGGGUUCUCUGCCAUCUGAUCUCUCACCGCAACGUGGAGACUGAUCUCUACGUGGAGACUGAUCUCUCACCGCAACGUGGAGACUGAUCUCUCACCGCAACGUGGAGACUGAUCUCUCACCGCAACAUGGAGGCUGAUCUCUCACCGCAACACAGAGGCUGAUCUCUCAUGAUCUCUCACCACGACACAAGCUUCCUGCCUUCAGAUCCUUCUCUACGGACCGUUUGCUGACGGACUUCCCUGGGCCUGCUACCUGAGACCUGCUGCUUCCUCCCUGACUUACUCAGCUGCUUCUUCCUGGACCCACCCGGUACCUGCACCCUCUCGUUGCCCAAGACCGGCCUCGCUGCUCCUGCCCUUCGGCCUCGGACCAUCGGAACGUCGUGCAACGGGACUGCUGCCGGAUCCUGGUGGUGACUAUCCCUGCUUUACGCAAUUCUUGCCUCUUUCUAUCUUUUCUAUCGCUCGCCUUCCCUUCCCCAUCACCCCAAUCCUUAAUAGUGUCUGUCCUCCCCUUUCCCCAUCUCCCUUAUUAACAUUUGUAAUAAACUGGUCGGACCAACAUGUGAACUGUUGUUUCUUAAUCUCACACCGGGCAUACAUAUUUCAAAGAACCUCUUCUCCCUCCUAUAAAUUGGAGCGAGACAAUGUUAAAGAGCAAUGGUCC